AUUGAACGCUAGCGGGAUGCCUUACACAUGCAAGUCGAACGGCAGCACGGACUUCGGUCUGGUGGCGAGUGGCGAACGGGUGAGUAAUGUAUCGGAACGUGCCUAGUAGCGGGGGAUAACUACGCGAAAGCGUAGCUAAUACCGCAUACGCCCUACGGGGGAAAGCAGGGGAUCGCAAGACCUUGCACUAUUAGAGCGGCCGAUAUCGGAUUAGCUAGUUGGUGGGGUAACGGCUCACCAAGGCGACGAUCCGUAGCUGGUUUGAGAGGACGACCAGCCACACUGGGACUGAGACACGGCCCAGACUCCUACGGGAGGCAGCAGUGGGGAAUUUUGGACAAUGGGGGAAACCCUGAUCCAGCCAUCCCGCGUGUGCGAUGAAGGCCUUCGGGUUGUAAAGCACUUUUGGCAGGAAAGAAACGUCAUGGGCUAAUACCCCGUGAAACUGACGGUACCUGCAGAAUAAGCACCGGCUAACUACGUGCCAGCAGCCGCGGUAAUACGUAGGGUGCAAGCGUUAAUCGGAAUUACUGGGCGUAAAGCGUGCGCAGGCGGUUCGGAAAGAAAGAUGUGAAAUCCCAGAGCUUAACUUUGGAACUGCAUUUUUAACUACCGAGCUAGAGUGUGUCAGAGGGAGGUGGAAUUCCGCGUGUAGCAGUGAAAUGCGUAGAUAUGCGGAGGAACACCGAUGGCGAAGGCAGCCUCCUGGGAUAACACUGACGCUCAUGCACGAAAGCGUGGGGAGCAAACAGGAUUAGAUACCCUGGUAGUCCACGCCCUAAACGAUGUCAACUAGCUGUUGGGGCCUUCGGGCCUUGGUAGCGCAGCUAACGCGUGAAGUUGACCGCCUGGGGAGUACGGUCGCAAGAUUAAAACUCAAAGGAAUUGACGGGGACCCGCACAAGCGGUGGAUGAUGUGGAUUAAUUCGAUGCAACGCGAAAAACCUUACCUACCCUUGACAUGUCUGGAAUUCCGAAGAGAUUUGGAAGUGCUCGCAAGAGAACUGGAACACAGGUGCUGCAUGGCUGUCGUCAGCUUGUGUCGUGAGAUGUUGGGUUAAGUCCCGCAACGAGCGCAACCCUUGUCAUUAGUUGCUACGAAAGGGCACUCUAAUGAGACUGCCGGUGACAAACCGGAGGAAGGUGGGGAUGACGUCAAGUCCUCAUGGCCCUUAUGGGUAGGGCUUCACACGUCAUACAAUGGUCGGGACAGAGGGUCGCCAACCCGCGAGGGGGAGCCAAUCCCAGAAACCCGAUCGUAGUCCGGAUCGCAGUCUGCAACUCGACUGCGUGAAGUCGGAAUCGCUAGUAAUCGCGGAUCAGCAUGUCGCGGUGAAUACGUUCCCGGGUCUUGUACACACCGCCCGUCACACCAUGGGAGUGGGUUUUACCAGAAGUAGUUAGCCUAACCGUAAGGGGGGCGAUUACCACGGUAGGAUUCAUGACUGGGGUG
rnacentral:rRNA from 1 species